AUUCCACACAGUUACUCUGUGCUUAUAUAGGAUCUGUGAGUCAUCUCCGAGGAGCGUUGACUGGCAGACGGAACAUUUGCUCAGACAUGAGCGCUAAUUGUAAAUGUCACAAGAUGGGUUUCUGAAAGCAAUCAGAGCCAAUUUUGUUUUGGAGACUUGAUAUAAAGCAACUUAAGUACAGUGGUGUACUGCAUUUUCUCCCUUUUUAGUUUAGUUUCACAAAGAUUUGUUACUUUUUAGCACUAAAUAAACAGCUUUAGAUAUCUGGGACAUUGAUAAAACUUUCUCCUCACUUUGCCACUCUGAUCUCAGUCUGUCGCUCUAAGCACCAAUCAGGCACAACAAUAUAACCACUGACAGGUGGAAUCAUUAAGACUGAUUAUCUCUUCAGUGUGACACCUGUUGAGCAACUUUGAAAAAGGACAAAUUGGAGCAACUGUUUUCACAUCUGAAAGUGGUCAGUGUCUACCUAAAGCUCUCCAAAGAGGGAACAAUGAUGAAACCAAAGAGUGGAGAACAUGCAGGUGUGCCUGUGUGGCUACUAUCGAUUGUAGCAACCUGCGCCGCCCAGUGGAUGUAGGGAGAAACAACGACGUCACUAAACAGUCACCAGCAGUGUGCUACUGAUCGCUAACAGGGACACCCACUAGACGGAAACAGACGCACCCAGCACCAAGUUCAUUCUAUUGGCUGAGCGGUUGCUUGGUGAUGGUACUUUUUUGUUCCGACAGAGAGCAGAAAAUGUUUUGCAAGUGAGCAGAGAGGUUUGCAAGCAGAGAUUUGAUCUGAGCAGAGACAAGUUUUGAGCGUGAGGAGAAAGGCUUGAGAAAGCACAGUGAAUAUUUGAAAGAGAGCAGUAGUUUUGAGUACAAGCAUGACAAGUUUCAAGAGGAAAGACAUGAAGUUCUGCUUUCAAACUGAAAACGUAAGCACAAAUAUUAAAUGUUUUGAGAAGAAAAAAAAACAUGAAAUCCUGCUUUCAAACCGAAAAUGCGUGCUCUCGAAUUAUGACAGAAAAAUUGCCCCAUACUCUUACACAAAAACUAGACUUGAGCAAAUGAAGGAAAACCAUGCCCUUCAGAGUUAAUCAAUGUUUUCUGUCAGAUUCUGACAAAAGACCAAAAAAAAGAACCAAAAAAACAAAAGCAUGUAUAACAAUAGCAGCAACCAACAUGAACUGGCAUCUGUAAAAUCGCUGCAGCCACAGCAGGUGAGUUUUUAUUGCAGCCUUUUCACAAGUAAUACCAGCUCUCCUUGGGAAAGUUUGGCACUUUGAGAAAAGUGGUUCUUUUUGGAAAUUAGCUCAAAUGAGUGUUAGCUCCACUUCAGCAUCCAUAUUUGUUCCCCCUGUCAGCUCUGUAGGCAGGGCUGCGUUUGUCUGUUCUGAGCCCACGCGCAUGCAGGUCAAACCGCUGACUUUCACCAGCACUCUCCAAAACACAAAGAGGAGGGUUUUCACAAAGCGCUCCAAUCUGCCUGAUUUGUUGCAGUUGUUUGUCAUGAACUAUCUGCUUUAUUUUUGCACUAUAAGUACACCAAGAACAUACACAUUGAACAGAGAGCUUAGCCACAAACAGAGCAG